UACGAAGGGGGCUAGCGUUGCUCGGAAUCACUGGGCGUAAAGGGUGCGUAGGUGGUGAGGUAAGUCGGAUGUGAAAGCUCCAAGCUCAACUUGGAAAUGGCAUUGGAAACUACCUUGCUAGAGGGUUUGAGGGGGGACUGGAAUACUUGGUGUAGCAGUGAAAUGCGUAGAUAUCAAGUGGAACACCAGUGGCGAAGGCGAGUCCCUGGAAAACUCCUGACACUGAGGCACGAAAGCUAGGGGAGCAAACAGG
rnacentral:rRNA from 1 species